GGAAGUGCAUGGCCCGCUGGUGCGGCCCCCGGUCUUCAAAACCGGUGUGGGGCGCGAGAGCGUCUCGGGCAGGUUCGAUUCCUGUGCAUUUCCG
rnacentral:tRNA from 1 species